GCCUAUGGCCACGCUACCCUGAACGUGGCCGAUCUCGUCUGAUCUCGGAAGCUAAGCAGGGUCGGGCCUGGUUAGUACUUGGAUGGAAGACCACCUAGGAAGACCAGGUGCUGUUGAAA
rnacentral:rRNA from 1 species